CACUAGGCCCUAUUCAGGGCCACCAUACUUCAAGCUAGUCACUGAC
rfam:Operophtera brumata OBRT01_Sc00816, whole genome shotgun sequence.